CCUGGUGGCGAGUGGCGAACGGGUGAGUAACAUAUCGGAACGUGCCCUGGAGUGGGGGAUAACUAGUCGAAAGACUAGCUAAUACCGCAUACGAUCUACGGAUGAAAGUGGGGGAUCGCAAGACCUCAUGCUCGUGGAGCGGCCGAUAUCUGAUUAGCUAGUUGGUGGGGUAAAGGCCUACCAAGGCAUCGAUCAGUAGCUGGUCUGAGAGGACGACCAGCCACACUGGGACUGAGACACGGCCCAGACUCCUACGGGAGGCAGCAGUGGGGAAUUUUGGACAAUGGGCGCAAGCCUGAUCCAGCAAUGCCGCGUGAGUGAAGAAGGCCUUCGGGUUGUAAAGCUCUUUUGUCAGGGAAGAAACGGUUUGGGCUAAUACCUUGGGCUAAUGACGGUACCUGAAGAAUAAGCACCGGCUAACUACGUGCCAGCAGCCGCGGUAAUACGUAGGGUGCAAGCGUUAAUCGGAAUUACUGGGCGUAAAGCGUGCGCAGGCGGUUUUUCAAGACAGAUGUGAAAUCCCCGGGCUUAACCUGGGA
rnacentral:rRNA from 1 species